rnacentral:rRNA from 1 species
GUGAGGAAUUUUCCGCAAUGGGCGAAAGCCUGACGGAGCAAUGCCGCGUGAAGGAUGAAGGCCUAUGGGUUGUAAACUUCUUUUCUUAGAGAAGAAUAUUGACGGUAUCUGAGGAAUAAGCAUCGGCUAACUCUGUGCCAGCAGCCGCGGUAAUACGAAGGGGGCGAGCGUUAUUCGGAAUCACUGGGCGUAAAGCGUGCGUAGGCUGUUUUGUAAGUCAGAAGUGAAAGCCCAGGGCUUAACCCUGGAAUUGCUUUUGAAACUACAAGACUCGAAUUCGGGAGAGGAUAGCGGAAUUGUCAGUGUAGCAGUGAAAUGCGUAGAUAUUGACAGGAACACCAGUGGCGCAAGCGGCUAUCUGGACCGAUAUUGACGCUGAGGCACGAAAGCGUGGGGAGCAAACAGGAUUAGAAACCCGGGUAGUCC